GGCCCGUUAGCUCAACUGGUAGAGCAGCGGACUCUUAAUCCGCGGGUUGCUGGUUCGAGUCCAGCACGGGUCACCA
rnacentral:tRNA from 1 species